rnacentral:tRNA from 1 species
AUGCGUCUGGCCCACUGCGCGGUGGCUUCGGCGUAAAAGGAGUCGAGCCAUUCCGUUUCCGCCGUUUCGAUCCCAGAUGCCGCGCGGCGCGCACGAGCGCAUCGAGCGGCGCAUG